UGACCGCUGGCGGCGUGCCUAAUACAUGCACGUCGCGCGAACAGACGCGGAGCUUGCUCCUCUGACGUUAGCGGCGGACGGGUGAGUAACACGUGGAUAACCUACCUAUAAGACUGGGAUAACUUCGGGAAACCGGAGCUAAUACCGGAUAAUAUAUUGAACCGCAUGGUUCAAUAGUGAAAGACGGUUUUGCUGUCACUUAUAGAUGGAUCCGCGCCGCAUUAGCUAGUUGGUAAGGUAACGGCUUACCAAGGCAACGAUGCGUAGCCGACCUGAGAGGGUGAUCGGCCACACUGGAACUGAGACACGGUCCAGACUCCUACGGGAGGCAGCAGUAGGGAAUCUUCCGCAAUGGGCGAAAGCCUGACGGAGCAACGCCGCGUGAGUGAUGAAGGUCUUCGGAUCGUAAAACUCUGUUAUUAGGGAAGAACAAAUGUGUAAGUAACUAUGCACGUCUUGACGGUACCUAAUCAGAAAGCCACGGCUAACUACGUG
rnacentral:rRNA from 1 species